rnacentral:lncRNA from 1 species
AUGGUCUGGAAUUUUGGCGGCCAUGUGAGAAUUCUGCCAACCACAGCCUGCCAGAGGUUUUUUGUUUUGUUUUGUUUUGUUUUGGGAAGAAAAAAUGUUUUUCAAACCUGUCACUUAAACUACUUAAUUCCUACCUUAGUAUCCAUGUUUUCUCUUUUUUUUUUUAACACAGGAAAUGCAUGUCUUCCAAACUGCAUCACUUUUCUAGCAAUUUAUUUUGUGCCUUGGUUUGUUUUGCCAUCAAAUAGGCAUAAUGAUGGUCCCUGCUUACAGACUUGUGUGCACCAAACUAAGGUGGUACAUGUGCUGCCUUUACCACAGAGCCUGGCACACAAGAAGCCCUCAAUAACUCCACGUAACCAAGGUGACUUCCAUGGUUGGUCAAAAAGGAAAAAAAGAGAAGCAGUAGAAGAAGCCACGAAGCUACCUGGGAUGGUAAUGUAAGGCUGUCCCAAGGACCUAAUUGGUCAUUCUCAGGAUGCAAACCACCCUUGGAAACGCAGCAGGUCAGCAGUGAGAUGUAGCCCAUGGCAGGGCACAGGUGAAAUGCUUAGCUAAGUGGCAUGGCAGACCGUGUGAAAAAACAACAACAAAAAAAACAACAGAUUUUUUUAAACCAACUUUGCUGCCCAUACCCUUCUUUUACCCAGGCAGAGAUCUGAGGAAAACCCAAACAAAUUCAGAGAAAUAUAGACAAACUAGCCAGUCUACUCAAUACCGGAAGAGGCAGAGGUGUGUGCAGAGGUGGUCAAAGAGGGACACAAAUCAAAAUCUGUAGAACACAGAAAUAGGAUGAAAGAUACAUGAAAAUAGCAGAGAGGUGUGUUUCUUGAACUGUCCUACCUCUCCAUAACUUUGUAUCUCUAUCAGACACAACACCAAUAUAGCUUUACAAAUAUUGUCCUGUGGGAAACUUGAUUAUUCCGCUUCGAUUCCGGGAUAUGUAAGUAUACAUUACACAUUUACACCAGAGUCAGAAACUCUCCAUCCAAAGCUCCACCAUAACAGUUUAAAUUAACAGAGCCACUGAUACUCUUUAUGAUAUGCGGGGUAUGUGAAUGUGUGCUUAGUAAUUGUAUCACAUCCCUCAAACAAACCCCACUAUCUUGGAUUUGGU